AAUACGGAGGGUGCUAGCGUUGUUCGGAAUUACUGGGCGUAAAGGGCGCGUAGGCGGCUCUUUCAGUCGGGUGUGAAAGCCCGGGGCUCAACCCCGGAACGGCACCCGAGACGGGAGGGCUGGAGACCGGGAGAGGAGGGUGGAAUAGCCAGUGUAGAGGUGAAAUUCGUAGAUAUUGGCUGGAACACCGGUGGCGAAAGCGGCUCUCUGGCCCGGUUCUGACGCUGAGGCGCGAAAGCGUGGGGAGCAAACAG
rnacentral:rRNA from 1 species